UAGAACAUCACCAGCUUUAGUACCAAAAAAGGAAGCAUUCUUAAUAAUAAAAAGCUGUUCUUUCUCCGUAGUCCAAAGCAAACGCCAAGUGGCUGAAAGGGAACUUCCAGUGGUGACAGUAUCACGUCCAAUGGAACCCAAAUCGUCAAUAGCUUGGAUUAUUUGUGAGAGCUUUUGGGGGUCAGAUUGAGUCUUUAGACCACGUUCUUGGUCAGAAAUCAGGUUGAGAAGAUGGAUUUUUUGGGAUUGAGAUGUGAGGGAAGAAGAAUGGAUGGGUCUUUUGUGGGAUUUGGGUUUAGAAGGGAAGGAAUUUGGAAGAGAGAAGAAGCAGGUUGCCAUUUUUGCUCUUUGG
rnacentral:misc_RNA from 1 species